rnacentral:rRNA from 1 species
CAGCCGCCGCGGGAAAACGGAGGGUGCAAGCGUUAUCCGGAUUUAUUGGGUUUAAAGGGUCCGUAGGCGGACUUAUAAGUCAGUGGUGAAAGCCUGUCGCUUAACGAUAGAACUGCCAUUGAUACUGUAAGUCUUGAGUAUAUUUGAGGUAGCUGGAAUAAGUAGUGUAGCGGUGAAAUGCAUAGAUAUUACUUAGAACACCAAUUGCGAAGGCAGGUUACCAAGAUAUAACUGACGCUGAGGGACGAAAGCGUGGGUAGCGAACAGGAUUAGAUACCCCGGUAGUCCCUGUCUCUUAUAC